AGCUAAUGUCUUGUUGUGUUUGAUCUUUUCCAUUGGCUGAAGAAUGCUGUGACAAAAAAGCAACCAGGACACCACAUCUGCAGUGACAGAGAGCAGGAUGGGGGAGGAAUCAGAAGGACCAGAACAUAAUAUCAACUGGUGCCCCUGAGGAGAUUCACAUUGUUCUGUUUCUUUUGUUUAGUAAUAAGCGGUUUUAUGUGAUUUUGUAAAAUAAAAGAAAUUCAGUAUUCAAUCCA